rnacentral:rRNA from 1 species
GAGGGCGAGCCUGAGGAGCAUGCCGCGUGGAGGAAGAAGGCCUAUGGGUUGUAAUCUCCUUUUCUCAGAGAAGAAGUUCUGACGGUAUCUGAGGAAUAAGCAUCGGCUAACUCCGUGCCACAGCCGCGGUAAUACGAUGCCACCAGCCGCGGUAUACGAGA